CUUCUUCCCCACCCAUCCUCUUCACCCCCGCUCUCAUUCCCAUUCCCCGCACCCCUCAAUUGCAUCGGAGCAUUAUUUUUGCUAAAUGGUCCCUUCACAGGAUCUUAUGUAUGUACCAGAGCAUCUACAGCCGGCCCCUGGAUCUGGAACCCGAGUGGAUACCCAUCCCAUCCGGAUCCGGAUCUUGACCGACCCCUUCCCCCGCCGGCGACGAGCCCUAGCUAGCUCGGACCAGUCCUGGUGCGAGAGGCCACCGGCGGCAAGGCUGCGUGCGGUGGCGGAGCAUGCACUGCGAGCGCUCUACUCGGAUCUGACCGAACCCCGUCGCCGCGCCCGUCCCGCUCGCCGUGGCCGAUGAUCGCGCGCGUCGGCUGGGGCCGCGUCCCUCCCCAGAUGGCGGCGAUGAUGGAGGGAGCCGCCGGCACCAGCCCCCUCCCGCCUCGCCGGACCGCGCAUCGGCUUGGAGGCCCCUCGGGACUGCCGCCGGUGCGGGGGGGCGUCCGCGGCCUUGCGGGCUGGGGACCGAGCGGGAUCUGAGCCGCCGUCGAUGGAUUUCUCGCAGCCUGGCUUCGUUUUUCUUUGGAUCCGGUACGGUCCCCAUAUCUCUCUCUCUCUCUCUCUCUCUCUCGGAGUUGACACCACUAGAUCCAAAUCCUAAACCAAAUCAGGGGAGCUCUCGUUGCCGGAUCGCUGGCCUAUCGUCCGGAUGUCCGCCGCGUCAGUUCCCCACAGCUACGGUGCCGCCAGCCACCGCCGUUCCAUUGCCUUGGAUUCGGCUGUGCGCGUGGGCUGGGAACCGUUCCCUGUUGUCUGAUGCGUCGUUGGAGCGGGAGGUUUGGUCGGUCGAGGCCAGGUAUGAGCAGCUCCUGAGCUGGCUGGAUGGAUGGAUGCAGGUCAUGUGUCGUGAACUAACACCACGAUACUUAGGCUGUUUGUAAUGGGAGUAUCAUAAGUAGGCAAUUUUGAUGAUUCUUCAUAGAAUUAAAUGAAGUUGAGUAUGUGUCAUGCAUGGCAAUAAAUGAACCACCCUAUGAUACUAUUAACAGAUUAUAAUAUGCAUUACGGAUGUAGUAUCAUAUGCAUAAUACUAGUAUAUGAUACUCUCUAUUACGACCAGCCUUAUCUGGAACGGAGGGAGUAUACUUUGGAACAGAGGGAGCAACUAGAGCCGACACCCAGCAACCCAGCAACCAAAUCCGGAGCCGUCGCUCGGACCCCGAGUCCACGCACCAGGCUGGCCAACGACACUGUCACCCACAUGGCCAGUGCUGGCAUCCCUCCACUCUCUCUCUCUCUCUCUCUCUCUCUCUCUUUAACCCUAAAACAAAUCAGUCAAGCUCUCGUUGCCAACUCGCUGACCCACCGUCCGGGUGGCUGCCACAUCAGUUCCCUGUUGCCACGGUGCUGCCAGCCUGCCAUUCCACUGCCUUGGAUUCGGUUGUGGCGUGGGCUGGGAACCGUAGAGUUUUGUUCCGAUGUGUCGUUCAAGGCGGAGGUUUGGUCGGCUGACGUUAGGUAUGAGCAGCUCCUGAGACUGUCUAAGUUACUCACCACUAUGACCAGUUUGAUGGAUGGAUGGAUGCUACUGUGUGAUGAAGGCCCUGUUUGGAUACUCUAACUUAGCUAGAGGUUAGAGGUUAAAGUUAGUGCUACUGUGUGAUGAAGGCCCUGUUUGAACGGUAGAGUUAGCAGGAUGGAUGAAUGCAGGUCAUGUGUCGUGAACUAAAGCCACGAUACUUAUCUCGAACAGAGGGAGUAUAUUUUGGAACGGAGGGAGUACAUAUGUAUGUAUGGAUAUCAUGGUCAUGUUGCUUUGGGGUUCAACCUCUUUUUGGAUUAAAAAAGAGGGGCGAUGCCGAUGAUGAUUACUGUGGCUGAAAUAAUCAUGUCUUGAGACAUCAAGACAGCCAUGGCGAGGUGGGACUAAAUAGUGCCUGAAAAUUGGUGUCUGUGUUGGAGUUGCUCUUAGAGCCCACCCUUACCUCUGUUGCAGCCUGUCCAAUUCAUCGCCAAUGUUGGAUGUUCUGUGCCUUGGACGGUCGUUCUGAUGAGUGAUAACCAGGGCAGUUCUCUUACAUUGUGAUGGGUGGAUUAUGCUGCAAGAGAUGUGAGUGUUGGGUUUGAAGAUGAAAUGCAAAACUGAGCCCUCUCUUGCUACGUUACAUAAACUCGGUUCAGUUGCAUUUUGUUCUGGAUCUGGGAUGGAUCCUCCUCCUCUCUCUCUCUCUCUCUCUCUCUCUCUCCCUCCCUGCGAAGAAGAAGAAGAAGAACAAACCAGUCAAGCUCUCAUUGCCGACUCGCUGACCCGUCGUCUGGGUGGCUGCCACAUCAGUUCCCUGAAUCUACGGUGCUGCCUGCCACUGCCAUUCCAUUGCCUUGGAUUUGGUUGUGGGGUUGGCUGGGAACCGUACAGUAUUGUCUGAUGUGUCGAAUGAGCCGGAGGUUUGGUCAGCUGAUGCCGGGCAUGAGCAGCUCCUGAGACUGAGACUAGUCAUAGGUGGGAGUAACUUAGGUUUUAGUUCAAUUUGAACUUGAACUAAAACCACAACAGGAAUUAUGUAACGGAGGGAGUAACAUACAUGCCACAUACGCAAAAAAGGUGGUGUGACAAGUAAUUAAAGAGGAUGGAUGGAUGGAUGUGUGCAUGCAUGUAAUGGGUAUCGUGGUCAUGUUGCUUGGUGUAUAGAGCCCAGCCGAGGGAUCAACCUCCUUUUUGGGAAAAAAAUGAGGGGCGAUGAUGAUGUCACCGGCCGACAUAAUCAUGCCUUGAGCAAUCAAGACAGCUGUGGUGUGUGGGUACUAAUUAGAGCCGGAAUCGGUGACCUCGUUGGAGAUGCCCUUAGAGCCCACCCUUACCUCUCUUGCAGCCUGUUCAAUUCAUCUAUGAUGUUGUAUGUUCUGUGCCUCGGACGGUCGUUCUGAUGAGUGAUAACCAGGGCAGUUCUAUUACAUCGCGAUGUGUGGAUAGCAAGAGAGUGAGUGCUGGGUUUGAAGAUGAAAGAUAAAACUGAGCCAUCAAUUUUUCACCGUUUAGUUGCAUCUUGUUUUGGAUUCGGUAUGGAUCCUCCUCACCUCUCUCUCUCUCUCUCUCUCAAACCCUACGCUCUCAUUGCCAACCCGCUGACCCAUCGUCCGGGUGGCUGCCACAUCAGUUCCCUGUUACUACGGUGCUGCCAGCCUGCCAUUCCAUUGCCUUGGAUUCGGUUGUGGCGUGGGCUGGGAACCGUAGAGUUCUGUUCUGAUGUGUCGUCUGAGACGGAGGUUUGGUCGGCUGACUCCAGGUAUGAGCAGCUCCCGAGACUGUCUAAGUUACUCACCACUAUGGCCAGUCUGAUGGAUGGAUGGAUGCUACUGUGUGAUGAAGAGAUGGAGUUCUUACAGGGGCGAUGAUGAUGACCAUGGCUGAAAUAAGCAUGCCUUGAGCAAUUAAGACUGCUGUGGCCUGUGGGUACUAAAUUAGAGCGCACCCUUACCUCUCUUGCAGCAAUUCAAUUCAUAGCUAAUGUUGGAUGUUCUGUGCCUUGGACGGUCAUUCUGAUGAAUGAUAACCAGGACAGUCCUCUUACAUCGCAAUGGGUAGAUUAUGCAGCAAGCUAUGUGAGUGUCAGGCUUUAAGAUGAAAGGCAAAACUGAGCCCUCUUUCGCUACGCUACAAAUAUUUGAUUUUACCUUCUUUAAUAUGCAUUGUUUUUUUUUUCUAUUCCUCUAUAUUGUGUUGAUGUGAGUAACGGCCCAUCUGGACUUGGAUUGAUGUCUUCUGAACACAGCAUAUUUGUUUCUGUUGUGUGUUGAUGAGUUCUAUUCUUUUCUGAAUGGCUAUGAUGAUUUCCUCCCCUUUGGUGUUGGAGAUCUUUCAACAUAUCCUGAGAUAUAGAUGCUUUCAUGUCUCCUAAAUUGGUUCCAUUCAACUUUGCCCAGUUAGACAGUUAGUAGUUAUACUAGGAAGCCUUGCUCUACAGCAAGUUACCAGUUACGGCUAUUUGUUGCUGGGCGGGGAAAGAGAGAGACAGAGAGAGAUGGUAAGGAGACCUGAAGGAUUGGAAUAUCACCAAAGAACUAGCAAUGAACAGGGGUGCAUGGAAAUUAGCUAUCCACGUGCCUAUCCCAACUUGUUUGGGACUGAAAGGCUUUGUUGUUGUUGUUGUUGUUGUUGUUGUUUGGUACCAUAAGGCUUCAAGUACUACCUGAAGCGUUGUCCAACUUUGGUGAUUUAUGGUGGGUUAAAUCUGAGCCAUUCAAGUAAUACUCUACAAUUUUCCUGGAUUUCACGAACUAUUCCUCGUGCAUGUGUUUGUUAUGACACCUGUGUUUGAUACUUCUACUACUGUUUGAUUAUAGUAAUUUGAUCAGUGAGAACUUCUGGAAUAUCCUCCAGAAAACAGCUUGAUUUCCCUACUAACUUUUCUUUGUUUCUUCUUGAUUUGAAGAAUGCCCGUUUGGCAACUGUGAAUGGUCAUGGGCUCAUUGUGAAAAUUAAGUUAUAUAUAUUCUGUGCAUUGUCGGCCUGUAGCUUGAAAAAGAAACCUGUCAUUACCUAUGGCUUUGGUUUGUCUCAAAAAAAAAAAAAACUAUGACUUUGGUUCUUUGUGUGCACCUUCUGGAAAGGUGAGAUGGUGUGAAAUCUUUUUAUUGAACAAAUUUAAAAGCAGAUUCUUAUUGAUGCCAUUUUUCAGUUUUUUGGUCCAAUUUUCGUAUCCAUUAUCAAUUUUUCAGUUGAUAUUUGCCAUUGUAGUCCUCCUUAACUUCCACCAUUGAUGCUUGCCAUCCCGUCGCCGCGCCCGCCCCGCUCGCCGUGGCUGAUGAUCGCGCGCCUCGGUUGGGGCCGUGUCCCUCCCUAGGAUGGAGUGGGCCGCCGGCGCCGGCCCCCUCCUGCCUCGUCGGAUCGCGCAUCGGCUUGGAGGCCCCUCGGGGCUGCCGCCAGUGCGGGUGGGCGUCCAUGGCCGUCCGAGCUGGGGGCCGAGCGGGAUCUGAGCCGCUGUCGAUGGAUUUCUUGCAACCUUGCUGCGUUUUUCUCUGGAUCCGGUGUCUCAGCAGGCGGAGCUACGAAAUGGCCGACGGGACUGCUUGCCCACCUUCUGGCACGCAGUCGAGGCGUGUGGAGCAGGGCCGGUGGCCGGAGCGGAGCGGUGGGUGGAGCAGCGAAGAAAAUAAAGUGUGCGUGCGAUGCCUCUUUUCGCUUGCUCUGUUUAAAGAAAGAGGUCUGGGGUUCUUUUUUUUUUUUAGCGAUAUGAUUUUUAUAUUGCUUAAUGUGCAUACCGCAGAUCUGGGAUUCUUCUUUUUACACAAAUAAAAUACCACAGUUUUGGCCA